CUGAGAGGAAGGUCCCCCACAUUGGAACUGAGACACGGUCCAAACUCCUACGGGAGGCAGCAGUGAGGAAUAUUGGUCAAUGGACGAGAGUCUGAACCAGCCAAGUAGCGUGAAGGAUGACUGCCCUAUGGGUUGUAAACUUCUUUUAUACGGGAAUAAAGUGAGCCACGUGUGGCUUUUUGUAUGUACCGUAUGAAUAAGGAUCGGCUAACUCCGUGCCAGCAGCCGCGGUAAUACGGAGGAUCCGAGCGCUAUCCGGAUUUAUUGGGUUUAAAGGGAGCGUAGGCGGGUUGUUAAGUCAGUUGUGAAAGUUUGCGGCUCAACCGUAAAAUUGCAGUUGAUACUGGCGACCUUGAGUGCAACAGAGGUAGGCGGAAUUCGUGGUGUAGCGGUGAAAUGCUUAGAUAUCACGAAGAACUCCGAUUGCGAAGGCAGCUUACUGGAUUGUAACUGACGCUGAUGCUCGAAAGUGUGGGUAUCAAACAGGAUUAGAUACCCUGGUAGUCCACACAGUAAACGAUGAAUACUCGCUGUUGGCGAUAUACGGUCAGCGGCCAAGCGAAAGCAUUAAGUAUUCCACCUGGGGAGUACGCCGGCAACGGUGAAACUCAAAGGAAUUGACGGGGGCCCGC
rnacentral:rRNA from 1 species